rnacentral:rRNA from 1 species
GACGAACGCUGGCGGCGUGCCUAAUACAUGCAAGUCGAACGAACCGCGACUAAGUGCUUGCACUAAGUCAAGGUGAGUGGCGAACGGGUGAGUAACACGUGGGUAACCUACCUCAUAGUGGGGAUAACAGUCGGAAACGACUGCUAAUACCGCAUAGGACAUAGGAUCACAUGAUCCAGUGAGGAAAGGUGGCGCAUGCUAUCGCUAAGAGAUGGACCCGCGGUGCAUUAGCUAGUUGGUAGGGUAAAGGCCUACCAAGGCGAUGAUGCAUAGCCGACCUGAGAGGGUGAUCGGCCACAUUGGGACUGAGACACGGCCCAAACUCCUACGGGAGGCAGCAGUAGGGAAUCUUCCGCAAUGGACGCAAGUCUGACGGAGCAACGCCGCGUGAGUGAAGAAGGUCUUCGGAUCGUAAAGCUCUGUUGUUAGAGAAGAACAGCGCAUAGAGUAACUGCUAUGCGUGUGACGGUAUCUAACCAGAAAGCCACGGCUAACUACGUG